rnacentral:rRNA from 1 species
AGAAGCUGAAGUACUGUACGAAUAAGCCCGGCUAACUCCGUGCCAGCAGCCGCGGUAAUACGAGGUGCUAGCGUUAUCUGGAUUUAUGCGUUUACAGGGUCUGUAGGAGAUCCGUAAGUCAGUGCUGAAAUCUCAUAGCUCAACUAUGAAACUGCCAUUGAUACUGCGUGUCUUGAGUGAGGUAGAAGUAGCUGGAAUAAGUAGUGUAGCGGUGAAAUGCAUAGAUAUUACUUAGAACACCAAUUGCGAAGGCAGGUUACUAUGUCUCAACUGACGCUGAUGGACGAAAGCGUGCAGAGCGAACAGGAUUAGAUACCCUGGUAGUCCACGCUGUAAACGAUGCUAACUCGUUUUUGGUCUUUCGGAAUCAGAGACUAAGCGAAAGUGAUAAGCUAGCCACCUGGGGAGUACGAACGCAAGUUUGAAACUCAAAGGAAUUGACGGGGCCCCGCACAAGCGGUGGAUUAUGUGGUUUAAUUCGAUGAUACGCGAGGAACCUUACCAAGACUUAAAUGGGAAUUGACAGAUUUAGAAAUAGACCAUCCUUCGGGCAAUUUUCAAGGUGCUGCAUGGUUGUUGUCAGCUCGUGCCGUGAGGUGUUAGGUUAAGUCCUGCAACGAGCGCAACCCCUCUCACUAGUUGCCAUCAUUCAGUUGGGGACUGUAGUGAGACUGCCUACGCAAGUAGAGAGGAAGGUGGGGAUGAUGUCAAAUCAUCACGGCCCUUACGCCUUGGGCCACACACGUAAUACAAUGGCCGGUACAGAGGGCAGCUACACAGCGAUGUGAUGCAAAUCUCGAAAGCCGGUCUCAGUUCGGAUUGGAGUCUGCAACUCGACUCUAUGAAGCUGGAAUCGCUAGUAAUCGCGCAUCAGCCAUGGCGCGGUGAAUACGUUCCCGGGCCUUGUACACACCGCCCGUCAAGCCAUGGAAGUCUGGGGUACCGAAGUCGGUGACCGUAAAAGGAGCGCCUACGUCAGCUGCCG